rnacentral:rRNA from 1 species
UUUUUAAAUUGAGAGUUUGAUCCUGGCUCAGGAUGAACGCUGGCGGCGUGCCUAAUACAUGCAAGUCGUACGCUAGCCGCUGAAUUGAUCCUUCGGGUGAAGUGAGGCAAUGACUAGAGUGGCGAACUGGUGAGUAA